rnacentral:rRNA from 1 species
GAUGAACGCUGGCGGCGUGCCUAAUACAUGCAAGUCGAGCGAAUGGAUUAAGAGCUUGCUCUUAUGAAGUUAGCGGCGGACGGGUGAGUAACACGUGGGUAACCUGCCCAUAAGACUGGGAUAACUCCGGGAAACCGGGGCUAAUACCGGAUAACAUUUUGAACCGCAUGGUUCGAAAUUGAAAGGCGGCUUCGGCUGUCACUUAUGGAUGGACCCGCGUCGCAUUAGCUAGUUGGUGAGGUAACGGCUCACCAAGGCAACGAUGCGUAGCCGACCUGAGAGGGUGAUCGGGCACACUGGGACUGACACACGGCCCAGACUCCUACGGGAGGCAGCAGUAGGGAAUCUUCCGAAAUGGACGAAAGUCUGACGGAGCAACGACGCGUGAGUGAUGAAGGCUUUCGGGUCGUAAAACUCUGUUGUUAGGGAAGAACAAGUGCUAGUUGAAUAAGCUGACCCCUUGACGGUACCUAACCAGAAAGCCACGGCUAACUACGUGCCAGCCGCCACCGUAA